AGUGAACGCUGGCGGCAGGCCUAACACAUGCAAGUCGAACGGCAGCACAGUAAUUGCUUGCUCUUUCAGGGGGCGAGUGGCGGACGAUUGCUAGAUACAUCGGCAUCUACUUUUUCGUGGGGGCUGAAGUAGGGGCACUUACGCUAAUACCGCUUACGACCUACGGGUGGGAGCUUCGGAUCUUCCGCCCUUACACGAUUCUAUGUGCCGAUGUCUGGUUAGCUAGUUGGCGGGGUAAAGGCCCACCAAGGCGACGAUCCGUAGCUGGUCUGAGAGGAUAGUCCGGCAAACUGGAACUGAGACAAGGUCCAGACUCCUACGGGAGGCAGCAGUGGGGAAUAUUGGACAAAGGGCGGAAGGCUGAUCCAGCCAUGCCGCGUGUGUGAAGGAGGUCUUCGGAUUGGAAAGCACUUUAAGUUGGGAGGAAGGGCAGUAAGGUAAUACCUUGCUGUUUUGACGUUACCAACAGAAUAAGCACCGGCUAACUUCGUG
rnacentral:rRNA from 1 species